AUGUGCGCCGGCGCGCGGGUGGUCGUGGUGGAGGCGGCCGCCGCCUUCGUCCUCCACCUCCUCCUAACGCGCACGCUCGCCGCGGGGUGGCGGUGGGGCCAUGCUCCUUGCUCUCGCGCACCCGUACUCGCACUCGGCAGCGGGGCCAUCCUUGCGGAGCACGCGCCGGCGGUGACGCUCUUCGGGCACCCCCGCAGCUGGCUGAGCCUGGCCAUCCAUGAGGACACGCGGGCGCCGACGGCGUUCCUUAUCGAGAUGCCCAUGCUGGCGGCGGCGCUGCACAGGGGAUGGCCACGGGACCUUGAAGCUGGCGCCGGAGAGCAACAGUCGCAGCGUGCGGCGACGGCUCCUGUCCAACGACGAGCGGCACGUGCUGCGGCUGCUGCGCGGGCGCCGGGGUGCUGCCGCCGCCGCCUGCUGACGGCUCCAACUGCCCGACGGCGUCCUACUAAUCCCGCUGGCUGCAGCGUUGAAGCAAUGAUAUCAGUGUGCGCAUAUGGAGCGAGAGAAGGGAGCGAGAUGCAGACGCAUCGGUGGAGACGAAUUGAUAAUAAACUAGCGGUGAAGGACCCGUUUUCUUUUUGA
rnacentral:rRNA from 1 species